GAUGAACGCUGGCGGCGUGCCUAACACAUGCAAGUCGAGCGAUCUUCUUCGGAAGAGAGCGGCGGACGGGUGAGUAACGCGUGGGUAACCUGCCCUGUACACACGGAUAACAUACCGAAAGGUAUGCUAAUACGAGAUAAUAUGCUUUUAUCGCAUGGUAGAAGUAUCAAAGCUCCGGCGGUACAGGAUGGACCCGCGUCUGAUUAGCUAGUUGGUAAGGUAACGGCUUACCAAGGCGACGAUCAGUAGCCGACCUGAGAGGGUGAUCGGCCACAUUGGAACUGAGACACGGUCCAAACUCCUACGGGAGGCAGCAGUGGGGAAUAUUGCACAAUGGGCGAAAGCCUGAUGCAGCAACGCCGCGUGAGCGAUGAAGGCCUUCGGGUCGUAAAGCUCUGUCCUCAAGGAAGAUAAUGACGGUACUUGAGGAGGAAGCCCCGGCUAACUACGUGCCAGCAGCCGCAGUAACAC
rnacentral:rRNA from 1 species